AUGGUCAGUUAUAGCAGAACUAGAGUUGAAGCUCUCUUGAGUAUAUAUCAAAAAGAUGUCAAACCUGCAACAGAUGGUUCAGGAGCUAGCCUUAAAGGUGCAUGCCAAUCAAAUGAAGGCGGACGCGAAGAACAACAUGACCAAGAAGUAGGCGAGGGUCGAGGCGAGAAAGGACCACCGGGUAGCCCGGUCGGCGCGACAGGUGGAGCGCAUCCGGAAGAUCGACCGCAUGUCUUCCCAGUUCCAGUGUUGCGACUGAUUCCUGUGCUGAAAACUAAACAAAAUUCAGAUUGCAUCUGA
rnacentral:rRNA from 1 species